GCUCGAGCGCCUUUAACCGCCGCCCGCUUCCGUUCUCCGUCCAUUUUUGCCAACUUUUGCGCCCUCGGGUUCCGUCCCCGUGCGGCCCUUUUAACCCUGCGCCGCGCGCCCCUGGGAGCGGCCGGCGAGCAUGCGCAGAUCGCUCGGGCGAGCGCCGCGGGGAGUGCGUGCGAGGGAGCGGAUGGAGCGCGAGCCUGGGGCUGCGGGGCCCGCGCCGGCGCCGCUGCGGCACCUCCGCGAAGCGCUGCGGGCGGCGCUGGCCCGGAUCCGAGACGGGGAGUCGCGGGAGAGCAGCGAGACCUUCGAGCAGCAGCGCUUCUGGGACACGCUAGGUCAGACGUUCAAAGCAACAUCCCAGGAAGCUACGAAGUUGAGUCUGGCAUUCUCGAGGCCUCCGCUGCCUUCUGCAGAGGACUGUCAGAAACUGAGUGAAGGCGUCCAGAAUGCUGUCCUAGCAGCUGCCACAGUGUAUUACUGGCUUCCCAAGGGCCAAGGUACCACUCUGCGGAAGAUGGUGCGAGAUGCCACUGCCGAGGUAGUGGAAGGAAUGAUCCAGCUCACAGACGUAAUUCUCAGUACUCCACUGCAGAGUUUGUCUCAGGAGCAGCUUAUAUCAACUGGUAGCAUAUGGGAGGCAUGUGAGCAGAUUUCCCAUCUGCCACAAGAUAACCAUGCAGCAGUCCUGUCAGCCAUGGCUGCCUAUCUGGGUGUGGUCAGGGAUGCGGUGGAGGAGAUGGAGCAGUAUAUGUGCUCUCAGGCUCAGAGGGAAGAUCAGGACCCCUACAGUGACAUCAUGGAGGAUGAGGAGCUGGGCUCUCGGGGCAAUAGGGACACGUACUGGUCUGAAGCUGACCGGAAGCUACUUAGUCCCUGCAUGGGGCUGAUGAAGGCCUCCAAAGCCUGCCUGAAGAAGCUCUUGGGUGCAGUGAAGGUUCAUGGCAAAGCAGACACCCCAGAACAAGUGGCUCAGCUAGAUGAUCUUGCAGACAUCACCAAUGAGAUCAGCCCGAGUGUUGAUGAGCUGGCACUAAGCAUGUAUCCGCCCAUGAACCAGCUGUCUGUACGACUCAAUGCUGCCAAACUGGCCUCUGUAUUAAAGAAAGUCCUAGAAAUUACAAAGGCAAGCCAUGUGUGUCCCCCAUCGGAGGAAGGCUGGGUUCAGUUUCUCACUGGUGCAGUAGAUCACAACAUGGACAAAAUUAAGGACUUCACACAGAGUGAACUUUAAUGCUUCUGCAGUUGGGGUCUCUAACAGCUGCCUUUCUGAGUGAAUGUUGCUGACUCCUGUGCAGCUCCACCAUCCAGCAUAAACUCCCCUCCCUGGAGAGAACCCACCUUGGGACCAGGGCUCAGGAUAGUAGCACCUGCUGUACGCUGGGAUCUAGCAGCCACAGUGUUGAUGCUUCUGUAGCCCUUCAGAUUCUGACUGCAGUCAAGAUGCAUGAAUAUUUGGGAAGCAAAGGGGGAAAGACAAGUGGUGGAGUGAAAAGACUGUUGAUUUUGAACAGCCAGACAAGGACAGUUACAAGAACUUCAAGAGGAGCUGUACAGAGCUGUACAAGAACUUCAAGAGGGGCCAAGCAGAGGGAAGCUGUAAGAUCCUUUUCUAUAUUGUGCCAUAGUACUGCAGUAUGCUGCUUGUGUAUACUUGGGUUGAAUUUUUAAUUGGUAAAUGCCUGUUAUAAAUUUAGUUGGAGGGGUUGCAAUUUGGCCUGUGACAUUUAUUUUGUGAGACCCAGUAAAUACCUGUAUUUACAAAAACAAUUUUAUUGAGCAGAAGAAAAACCACCUUUGUGGUUUAACACUUAUACGUUAAAAGCUAUUAAACCUAUUUAAAAAAUGCCAGGGUGCUUGCUGACUGAUCCUGUAUUAGUCACUGGCCAGGGUAUGUCAUACAUCCCUCAACUUCCACCAGCAUGGCAUGGUAGAGAUAAGGAUACAAGCUGCACUGCCGCCUUUCUUAGGGUGGUAGUAUGGUCCUGUGAACACUGAAUCAUCAUACACAGUGUCUGAUGAUGUGAUGGUCUUUGGGUGUUUUGCUCCAUAAUAUUCUCUAACAUUUGUUUGUUGGUUGAGGAGCUGCGUGAUGUCCUGGUCCUGUUCUCAAUGCACCGCCUCCAAUCCCUGCUCUCCUGGUCAGUCUGAGGACUGGAGAAGCUCUGUAAAUAUGUCCUCCUUGUGCUGUUUCUUCUUCUUCUGAAGAUGGGCAACAGCACGGAGGGGGCCUCUCACAGAUACCCCGCCUGAGGACACAGAUGAGAGAUAUUGUUGGCUUUACAGUGGUAGCUGAAAGGAAGAGAAGUCCCAAAACUCCUUAAUUUCAUUCCCCACAAAGAUCUUUAUGAAAAUAUGCAGAGGGUCAGAGCAGCUUCAGGACGACUCUGCAGCUGAACAUGGUGCAUAGCAUGGAGAUGCUGCUGAAAACACACAGUCAUUAAGGGUGGGGUGACACUGUAGUAAAUACAGUGGAGAUUACAGGCAGUGGUAAUUAUGGCAGAUCUCUCACACCCAAGGGUCACAAAGGCUCUGAGAAGGAGCUGCUCCAGGUGGCUUGAGGUUGCCCUGGCUCAUACACUGCCAGGCCCUGACAAAGUAAGAGGAGUCCACCCUCAAAAGAAAAGAACAAAAGUACAAUUGAAGAAACAUCAAAGCCAGGUCCUAGGCUGAAAGUCAUGUCUGCGAUUGAUGGGUGAUCAGUCACACCAAACCCAGAGGCAGCGUGACACAGCAAGACCUAUAGACUCUUGAUUCAGACUAAAGCCUACGAAAAGGAUGGGUGAGAUGGAAGACUUUGGAGGGUCACAUUCUGCUUCCAACAUGGAAGGGCAUCGGUGCAUGCCCAACAGAAACCCAGCUCUUCCUUGUGCCUGGCUUUCCUGGCCAGUGAGCCGCCACAAGCUACGAACCCAAGCCAUGAACUCAAGCUACAUUCAGGACUGGUAACUAUACAGCAGCUGCAGAACCUGUGUGUGUAUGAACGAACCGUGUGAAUGAAUGUGAAACUGAAUGAAAUGUUAUAGCUAUAACUGACUGCCUACUAUGAUUCUUUCUGUAGUCACAAUUAAUGUGACAUUUUGUCUUAUCCUCUUUAAUAAGAUCCUGCUGGUUUUUAUUUUAUUGGUAGAACAGGAGGCAUUAAAGCACUGUCUUUUGCUAGGUUUACAUUAAACAUGUACUCUUCAAAAGAAAUCAGGUACUCCAACUGGACAGUCACUGAAAGUCCCAGCUGUUGGAGUCAAGUGGAUCUGUGAUGAUUUCAGCCUUCAUUCUUAAAGAAAAAGUAAACCAUCUGGUCUGUGGCUCUCAAAAAUUUUGGUGUUGAGUGCAUCUUACCAGAGAGAGAGAGACGUGUGGACACCUCCCCUCCUGUUCAUGAUUGCAUGACAUCCCUGUAAAAACUGCUUACAUGGAAACGUAACACUAGCAAAGACAGAAGCGACUUUGUCUGUACAAAGUGCAAGCAGGUCUCCAUAUUGGAAGAGAAGUAUCGACCCUGUGUUGCAUAAGAGAAACUGAAGAUUUCCUGGACAGAUGUCAGGAUAUGCUUCUACGGGCACAACGUUCUGAAGAUUCAGAGCAGGCUGCGCAGUGGGGACAGAAGGAUGGUGAAGAAAUUUGGCAGCAUGUGACCUCCAGAAGAAGAAAGGGGAGCGUCCAUGUACCAGCAACGCAGAUACUGGUUACCAUGAAUGAUAUCACUCUCCUGAGGAUAAUGCAGAGAUAAAGAACGGAUGUUGCUUGAAUGCAGCAAACACCGGGACCAUACGCUACCAGGCUUUGUCAUGCAAUGAUACCAGAUUACUUGCUACUAGCAUGGCGUGGUAAAGUGUCCUACCAUGGAGGAUGGACUAAGGCUGCUCUCCCCAGAAACCUUCUGCAAAGGCUUUUAGAGUACCUCCGGGAGAGCUUCAUGGAGAUGUCCCUGGAAGAUAUCCGCUCCAUCCCCAGGCACAUUAACAGACUUUUCCAGUAGCAGUACUGGCCACGAAUGCAUCCCAAGUCCUCAGGGCUACUUAAUCAUUAAAAAAUGCUUGCUUUUAUAACAUGUAUUAUAUUUAAAAAGGUACACUCACCAGAGGUCCCUUCUCCGGCUUUGUUGGGUUGGGAGGGUAUUUCAAUCAGGGUUAUAAGAAGAUCCUGGCUGUUGGGGAGAAUGGUGUGCUGUGUGCUGUCCUUAAGCUCAUCCUUCUCGUCCUCAUCUUCCCCGUCCGCAAAAUACUCAGCCAUGGCGGAGAGUAUUCGAUCCUCAGAGUCCACGGACAGGGGUGGGGUAGUGGUGGCGGCCCCCCCUAGAAUUGCAUGCAGCUCAGCGUAGAAGCGGCAUGUCUGGGGCUCUGUCCUGGAGCGUCCGUUUGAUUCUUUGGUUUUCUGGUACGCUUGUCUGAGCUCCUUAAGUUUCACGCGGCACUGUGUUGCGUCCCUGAUGUAGCCUCUGUCCCUCAUGGCCUCUGAGAUUUUUUGAAAUGUUUUGGCAUUUUGUAUUUUGGAAUGUAGUUCUGAUAGCACGGAUUCCUCUCCCCAUACAGCGAUCAGAUCCAGUACCUCCCAUUUGGUCCAUGCUGGAGCUCUUUCUCGAUUCUGGGACUGCAUGGUCACCUGUGCUGAUGAGCUCGCCUGGCCAAACAGGGAAUGAGAUUCAAAAGUUCCCGGGGCUUUUCCUGUACACCUGGCCAGUGCAUCUGAGUUCAGAGUGCUGUCCAGAGCGGUCACAAUGGUGCACUGUGGGAUAGCUCCCGGAGGCCAAUACCUUCGAAUUGCGUCCAUACUAACCCUAAUUUGAAAUGGCGAUGUCGAUUUCAGUGCUAAUCCCUCGUUGGGGAGGAGUACAGAAAUCAGAUUUAAGAGCUCUUUAUAUCGAGAAAAUGGCUUUGUUGUGUGGAUGGGUGCAGGGUUAAUUCAGAUUUAAUGCUGCUAAAUCCAACAUAAACUUGUAGUGUAGACCAGGCCUUAGUUCCAGUUUGUUUGUCCCUUUGCCCUGGAGAAAGCUUUUGAAAGCAGAGCUGUUUUUCCUGAGUGAGUAAGCACUGCCUACACUAAUGACCCUUGUGUUUCUCUCCUCUGGUCCUUUCAUCUUUCCCGUCUCAAGAGUUAACUAGAAACAAAAGCUGGCAACUCAUCCUGGAAUGAAGCUGUUAUGAGAUUUCAGUACAAUGUGACCAAAUUCAAAGGGAAAGAACUAGGGGAGCUUCCUGUCACACUGUUCUAGGUAUCUGGUAUCUUUAUCCUGGGUUUUUCUUGUCUUCCGUAUUAAUUUCAAGGGUGCUUAUAAAUGAAAAAAAAAGUCUGUGUCCUUUU